UACGUAGGGUGCAAGCGUUAAUCGGAAUUACUGGGCGUAAAGCGUGCGCAGGCGGUUGUGCAAGACAGAUGUGAAAUCCCCGGGCUUAACCUGGGAACUGCAUUUGUGACUGCACAGCUGGAGUGCGGCAGAGGGGGAUGGAAUUCCGCGUGUAGCAGUGAAAUGCGUAGAUAUGCGGAGGAACGCCGAUGGCGAAGGCAAUCCCCUGGGCCUGCACUGACGCUCAUGCACGAAAGCGUGGGGAGCAAACAGG
rnacentral:rRNA from 1 species